AUGCACCAUUAAUUUUUCGGGGUUUUUUUGCAAGAGAAAAAAUGGGAAAUGGAGAAAGCCAAGCUCUGGAGCAAGAAAAGGAUAGAACAAGACAACGUGAAAGAGAAAUAAAAAGACUUGAAGAUAAACUAGCAAAACAGAUAGAGGAAGGUAAAUGAUUUUUAAUUUCAUUUAACGGUGUCUAGGAAGUGUAUGUUUAU